CGGGACGGGUGAGUAAUGUCUGGGAAACUGCCUGAUGGAGGGGGGUAACUACUGGAAACGGUAGCUAAUACCGCAUAACGUCGCAAGACCAAAGAGGGGGACCUUCGGGCCUCUGCCAUCGGAUGUGCCCAGAUGGGAUUAGCUAGUAGGUGGGGUAACGGCUCACCUAGGCGACGAUCCCUAGCUGGUCUGAGAGGAUGCCAGCCACACUGGAACUGAGACACGGUCCAG
rnacentral:rRNA from 1 species